rnacentral:tRNA from 1 species
GAUAGAGUGCCUGAUUAAAGGACCAUUUUGAUAGAAUGGAUCACGUGUGCCCCCCACCUCUAUCU